rfam:Strongylocentrotus purpuratus Contig49586_fixed, whole genome shotgun sequence.
GGUGUGUUGGCUCAGUCACUAGAGCGUCCGCCUCACAACCGGGAGGGCGUGGGUUCGAACCCCGACCGCGUCA